rnacentral:rRNA from 1 species
UGUGAAGGACUUUACGGAGGGAAAACACAAUGACUGAGUGGCGGACGGGUGAGUAACGCGUAGGGAACCUGGCCCUUACAGGGGGAUAACAGAUGGAAACAACUGCUAAUACCGCAUAAGCGCCCAGCCUCGCAUGAGGCAGAGUGAAAAACUAAGGUGGUAAGGGAUGGCCCUGCGUCCGAUUAGCUAGUUGGUAUGGUAACGGCAUACCAAGGCGACGAUCGGUAGCCGGCCUGAGAGGGUGGACGGCCACAUUGGGACUGAGACACGGCCCAAACUCCUACGGGAGGCAGCAGUGGGGGAUAUUGCACAAUGGGGGAAACCCUGAUGCAGCGACACCGCGUGGGUGAAGAAGCGCUUCGGCGUGUAAAGCCCUAUCAGUGGGGAAGAAAGAGGACGGUACCCAAAGAAGAAGCACCGGCUAAUACGUGCCAGCAGCCGCGGUAAUACGUAUGGUGCAAGCGUUAUCCGGAAUGACUGGGUGUAAAGGGAGCGUAGACGGUUGUACAAGUCUGAUGUGAAAGCCCACGGCUCAACUGUGGGAGUGCAUUGGAAACUGUAGAACUAGAGUAUCGGAGAGGCAAGUGGAAUUCCUAGUGUAGCGGUGAAAUGCGUAGAUAUUAGGAGGAACACCAGUGGCGAAGGCGGCUUGCUGGACGAAAACUGACGUUGAGGCUCGAAAGCGUGGGGAGCAAACAGGAUUAGAUACCCUGGUAGUCCACGCUGUAAACGAUGAAUACUAGGUGUUGGGGCCCGAAGGGCGUCGGUGCCGUCGCAAACGCAGUAAGUAUUCCACCUGGGGAGUACGUUCGCAAGAAUGAAACUCAAAGGAAUUGAC